GAUGAACGCUGGCGGCGUGCCUAAUACAUGCAAGUCGAGCGAACAGACGAGAAGCUUGCUCCUCUGACGUUAGCGGCGGACGGGUGAGUAACACGUGGAUAACCUACCUAUAAGACUGGGAUAACUUCGGGAAACCGUAGCUAAUACCGGAUAAUAUAUUGAACCGCAUGGUUCAAUAGUGAAAGACGGUUUUGCUGUCACUUAUAGAUGGAUCCGCGCUGCAUUAGCUAGUUGGUAAGGUAACGGCUUACCAAGGCAACGAUGCGUAGCCGACCUGAGAGGGUGAUCGGCCACACUGGAACUGAGACACGGUCCAGACUCCUACGGGAGGCAGCAGUAGGGAAUCUUCCGCAAUGGGCGAAAGCCUGACGGAGCAACGCCGCGUGAGUGAUGAAGGUCUUCGGAUCGUAAAACUCUGUUAUUAGGGAAGAACAAAUGUGUAAGUAACUAUGCACGUCUUGACGGUACCUAAUCAGAAAGCCACGGCUAACUACGUG
rnacentral:rRNA from 1 species